rnacentral:rRNA from 1 species
GAAUAUUGGUCAAUGGGUGAGAGCCUGAACCAGCCAUGCCGCGUGCAGGAAGAAGGCCUUCUGGGUUGUCAACUGCUUUUGCCAGGGGAUAAAAAUACCUUGCGAGGUAAAUUGAAGGUACCUGGUGAAUACGCAACGGCUAACUACGUGCCAGCAGCCGCGGUAAUACGUAGGUGGCAAGCUUUGUCCGGAUUUAUUGGGUUUAAGGGGUGCGUAGGCGGCCCUGUAAGUCAGUGCUGAAAUAUCCCAGCUUAACUGGGAGGGUGGCAUUGAUACUGCGGGGCUAGAGUACAGAUGAGGUAGGCGGAAUUGACGGUGUAGCGGUGAAAUGCUUAGAUAUCGUCAAGAACACCUAUAGCGAAGGCAGCUUACUAGGCUGUAACUGACGCUGAGGCACGAAAGUGUGGGGAUCAAACAGG